rnacentral:rRNA from 1 species
GCUUAACAUGCAAGUCGAACGGGGUGUUUAUUUCGGUAAACACCAAGUGGCGAACGGGUGAGUAACGCGUAAGCAAUCUACCUUCAAGAUGGGGACAACACUUCGAAAGGGGUGCUAAUACCGAAUGAAUGUAAGAGUAUCGCAUGAGACACUUACUAAAGGAGGCCUCUGAAAAUGCUUCCGCUUGAAGAUGAGCUUGCGUCUGAUUAGCUAGUUGGUGAGGGUAAAGGCCCACCAAGGCGACGAUCAGUAGCCGGUCUGAGAGGAUGAACGGCCACAUUGGGAUUGAGACACGACCCAGACUCCUACGGGAGGCAGCAGUGGGGAAUCUUCCGCAAUGGGCGAAAGCCUGACGGAGCAACGCCGCGUGAACGAUGAAGGUCUUAGGAUCGUAAAGUUCUGUUGUUAGGGACGAAGGGCAAGGGUUAUAAUACAGCCUUUGUUUGACGGUACCUAACGAGGAAGCCACGGCUAACUACGUGCCAGCAGCCGCGGUAAUACGUAGGCGGCAAGCGUUGUCCGGAAUUAUUGGGCGUAAAGGGAGCGCAGGCGGGAAACUAAGCGGAUCUUAAAAGUGCGGGGCUCAACCCCGUGAUGGGGUCCGAACUGGUUUUCUUGAGUGCAGGAGAGGAAAGCGGAAUUCCCAGUGUAGCGGUGAAAUGCGUAGAUAUUGGGAAGAACACCAGUGGCGAAGGCGGCUUUCUGGACUGUAACUGACGCUGAGGCUCGAAAGCUAGGGUAGCGAACGGGAUUAGAUACCCCGGUAGUCCUAGCCGUAAACGAUGGAUACUAGGUGUGGGAGGUAUCGACCCCUUCCGUGCCGGAGUUAACGCAAUAAGUAUCCCGCCUGGGGAGUACGGCGCAAGGUUGAAACUCAAAGGAAUUGACGGGGGCUCGCACAAGCGGUGGAGUAUGUGGUUUAAUUCGACGCAACGCGAAGAACCUUACCAGACUUGACAUUGAUGAAGACUAGAGAUAGUCCCUCUCUCGAGAACAAGAAAACAGGUGGUGCAUGCUGUCGUCAGCUCGUGUCGUGAGAUGUUGGUUAAGUUCCG